UCGAUUGUGGAUGGCCUCCUAUAGUUAAAACAGGAGAGGGAGAAAAGUUCUUUUGACAAAACAGGAGUGGCCUGAUAGUUUUGUUAACUAAGUAUACGUGGAAGGUGACACUGAACAUGGAGACAGUGGAGAUUGUUAUGUGAUAGAGUGGCAGAUGUUGAUAAAGCCCAUGGAUUCCUUAAUGGAGAAAAGGUGGAUGUAGUGGAAGAACUGGAAGUUGGUUUUAAAGGUGAAAAUGGCCUUGAAUGGAUCCAUGGAGAAAGGAGAAACAUCUGAGGCACUAGAUUCAACUCUACUUCCAGUGCACAAGAGUUUAUUAAUGAUG
rnacentral:lncRNA from 1 species